CAGUGAGGACGACCUCACCCGUAUCGGGGCUGUUCGGGACGACCCGC
rnacentral:ncRNA from 1 species